UGCCAAAGAGAGUCGUUCAGGUCUGGU
rnacentral:piRNA from 1 species